GUAGCGCAAUGGAUAGCGUUUUGGACUUCUAAUCCAAAGGUCGUGGGUUUGAUGGAUGUGAUUUCUUUUCUUACUGUGCU